UUUGAUAUACCACUUACACCAGGAAAGCCAACUAGUGCAUCUUUAACAUCGUUGAGUUCAAUCAUUUCAAGAACUUCUGCAACAAAUUCCUGUACUUAAAGAAGUUAACAUCCUAGAAAGUAAUGAAGCAUUCUGUGAUGAAACAGGUAGUUUUUCUUACUACAUGAGACCUCUCUAUUUGUGUGUACUUGAGAUUUAGAGCCAUUUCAAAUAAAUUUUUGUUACUUUAUGCUUCUUGUUCCAAAAACUUGGUGAAAUACUCUAAUAUUAGUGAAAGUUUCAUUAGAUAUUAGUAGAUUUCAUAAUGAAGUGAAAAUGAAUGUUCAGACCCUUCUUCUUUUAAUAGCACACGUAGUCUAGCUUGAUCUUGAGAGUCACAAGUUUAUCAGACAUUUAGCUUCUAUUGUUUUAUCGAGUUACAAGAAUCUUACAGAUUUUUUGCUUUGAUGAAUCUGAGCUGGCAAACGUAACCAAGCAGAGUAAGUGAGUGAUUCUUCUAUAGUAAUCUGUGGAGAAUGGAUAUCAGUUUGCUCGCAAUAACCAGAUAUUCUGGCAUAAGUAUCCUGGACCUUAGGGUAACCUCCAAUUCUUAUAUUUCCUUCAAUGAUACCACUACUUUUGCGUCCAGAAAGAACAUCCAAUAGUGUUGUCUUCCCGGCUCCACUAACUCCCAUUAAAGCUGUCAGAAUUCCAGGCCUAAAUGAUCCUGUAAUUUCAUGAAGUAGCUGUAGUCGUGUUUGUUCAUAACCUUGCUCUCUCAUUUUCUGUAAGGUGCAUUGAAGACAUUUGAUCAGUACGAGUCAUUUCCAAUAACCUUGGAGUUAAUAUAGAUUGAUAAACCACCACCUUAGGAGUUUCAACAAAAUAUUCAACAUUCUCGAACGUUAUUGUCAUGGGCUCAAAAGGUAAAACCAUCCCUGUUGGAUAAAGAAAAUAUCUGUUAAUAUUUUUUCUUUUUCCAAAUAUAUAGAACUCUGUUUGUGUAGACAUAAAUUUUUUUUGAAGUCAUUGACGUUAUCUACUGUUCACAUCCAACAAUUAUGACCAACUUAUUACCUGUAUACUAUUAGUUUCUUACCCAUGUAUUUUCCUUCUGCAGGAGCUUUGGGAGUAGCUGUAUGAGGCCAUUUGCUUGCUUGAGAAACUUUGCUCACAUCAUUUUUCACUCUUAAUUUGGAGGGCAUUUCAUGUGACUUGCUAGUCCGGGAUCUCCCAGGAGCUGAACACUUAAAAUUUUUCAUCAGAUGCAGGUUAGAGGGAAAAAAAAUACUUUACUUGCUUCUAUGCAAAUUUAUAUUUAUAUAUGUACUUUCGGUUUCUCCAUAUGGAUGUGAUUGAGUAACUUACUCUUUGAAAACCUCAAUGCACAAGUAAACCCGGCAUUUAGAAUAAUCCAAAAUCCUAGCAAUGCACCAAUUGAUAUCCAAUAAAAGGUUUCAGUAUAGUUUAGUCCACGUUUUGUUAGAACUUGUUGGCCUAUUGUAGCAUUUGAAGAUGAGACCUGUAGAUAGAAUGAUGAGUGAGCAUUCGUCAAUGUAACAGAAGCAAAUACACUUUCAUUAUAAUAAUAACGUAUAUUAGAGUUCCAUCCCACCUUUUGCCACCUUGGAGCAAGGAAUUCAUUCACUGAAAUUCCAAUCUCUGCAUAUGUUAUUGGAGAAAUCCAAAAGCCCCAUUCCAACCAAACAGGCAUUGAGGCUGCCACGAGGAGUGGUUAUUAGUUAAUUAGUUAGAGAAGUGCAAACAUCAUUUAGGAAUGAAAUCUUAGAUGAAGUCAUCAGUGGCCUCACGUUGUGGAACCACAAAGCCACAAAAUAAAAACAUCAGUAAUAAGGUGAAGAGACCACAGAAGGUAGCAACAGAUUGAUUGCGGAACACGGAAGCUACCAGGCGGAAUAAUGAUAUUGAUACUUGAUGUAGAAAAAAGAGGAGGAUUAACUGGUGUAAAAACCUGAAUGAGGGCAUAACAUCAGUACUUGAAAAAGGAAGAGAAGCUUUUCACAUAAGAAAGGCAUCUCAUAUGAAAUCGCACCUUUCUGGUUCAGGACUGUAACCUAUCACGUAAUAUGUAAGCGCUGUCCAAAGAAAAGCAUCUAGAAAUGAAAAUGGAAUCUUUAGAAUGGCUGCUGGAAUGGAAUAAGCCCAUGCAGGGUAAAAGUAGAAAUCUCUUUGCUUGUAGAAGACAGGUAGUCUGGAAACAGUCAUAGACAACUCUGGGAUUCCAUUGGUCAUCAGUCUAAUAACGGCAUAAAAUAGUGAUCCCAUGAAAGUAUUUGCAUGGAUAGCAUCAAUUUCUGCAUGUGUACGUAUGAAUACUGUCAUUGUUAUAAGUGCGACAACCACAAGCUGCAUCAACAAAACAUUCAGACCAAUAAAAGGCUUGUAAAUUUCUUAGCCCCUCAGUUAUGAACGGACCACGUUCAUGCAAUUCUGACCAAAUUAUUCCAUACCUGUGCAGAUUUGAAUGCAUGAACGAAUGAGUUACGUUUCAUAAGAAGCCAUUCUCUAGACAUGCAUGCCUUGAAUAGCUCCCAAUUUCUCAGUGAAGAUGUGUUAAAUGACAACGCUUUCUUGCGAAGAACAGUUUUAUCAAUAUGCUGUGAGAGUUCUUCAUCCAAUCUCUGUCCUAAAUGAAAUUCCUUGAAUUUUCUUGCCAAUUCUUCUGUAGAAACAUAAAUUGAAGGUUGGUCCUCAUGGUACCAGUAUUGUGCUUGAUCUUUUUCAGAAACUACCUGUAGAGGUGUAGAUGCUUAGGUGCAUCAGUUUGAAAUCCAAAUGUGGAUAUGUUAGCAGCUAAAUUAAUCCGAGGCAUAACGUACUUCUUGGAGAAAGUCGGCAAUGCCUUUCCUUGGUGGGCACCUGAAACCACAAUUCUCAAAGAAUUCUAAAACAUUAUCUCGAGGCCCAUGGUAUAUAAUCGUUCCUUCAGCCAUCAAGAUAAUGUCAUCAAACAAAUCAAAUGUUUCUGGGGCUGGCUGAAGAAGUGAUACCAAAAUUGUGGAUUCUGUAAUGUGCGUCAACUGCUGAAGACAAGUAACAAUCUGAAAGGUGGUUGAAGUAUCUAAGCCAUUUGAUAUUUCAUCCAUAAAGAGAACAUUGGAUGGACCUAUCAUCAUCUCUCCUGGUAAAGAAAAAGAUCAAGGGAAAAUUGUUGUGAUGAAAAGAAAUAAAUAUAUAUAUAUAUAUAUAUAUAUACACACACGCGCACGCACAUAUAUACUGAUAUUGAUAUAUUCAAUUGUUCGCAUUUGAGUAAGGUCAUAGCUAACCACCUAACACUUGGUUUUCAGCUAUCAAGAAUUAAAGAUUCUUUAAGAAACUAUUUUGGGUACUGAUAUGGACAUCAAUUUGUAAAUGCACUUCAAAAUAAAUAGGAUAAUGAUAUAUAAUGCGAUUUUAUAUGUCGACAUUUUAGUUUCGAGUUACGUAGAUAAUUAUGGUUGGUAUUAAUUUAACGACAUAUCUAAUAUGGUGGGCCAAUUUUAUAAUCCUUCUCAAUUCCAUGUAUUGAUAUACGUCACAAUUGUAAUUCUGCAAAAAAAACUCUCACAAUAUAUAGCAGGACUCAAAUAAAUAUGGACUAUAUAAGUGCCUGUUACAGCACCUGUUGUCAGCCUUUUCUUUUGACCACCUGAUAUUCCUCUUCUCAUGGCAUCUCCCACAAUUGUAUCGGCACAAGUAUCCAAUCCAAGUAUCUGAGUAGAUCAGUAGACCCAUUACAUGGUAUUAGAAAAGUUUCCUGCUGAGUAAGAUAUAUGAUGGUAGUAGUUGAUUCCUUAAUUUGUUGAAGAGAUUAAUUACCUUCAAUAUAUAGUCCGUCUGAAGAGUCCUUUUUAAUCCUUUGAUGGCAAUUUCCUGGUAGUUCAGUUUUCCAAUGAAGAUAGUCAGUAGGAAAGUGGUAGCUACAUUUACUUCAAAGAACAUAUGGAGAUUGUUCCUUGUUUACCUUCAUGUAGGUGUCAAUGUCUGGAUCAGGGAUAAUUCCAGCUCCUUUCUCCCUUUUGCGGACUUCCGCCAUGAUUUCUUCAUUAGAAAACAAUCACCAUAUCAAUCUUAAAACUCAAGGUUACAAUCAUCGCGUGAAUAUUUUUGGAACAUAGCUUACCUGCUCUGUUUCCAAUGCCCUGACAUCUUACUGCAAAAUCGAGAGUUUCUCUUACAGUCAUUUCAGAAAUGUGCCGGUCAUAUUGGCUAAUAUAAACUGAAGUCUUCUGAGGAACAAACUCAUUUAACUUGUAACCAUUGUAAGAGAUGUUUCCUGUGACCUAAAUUAUAAGAUUUUGCACUAACAAUGAUCAGCAAUUAUGUUUGUCUGAUUAAUCAGAAGUAUAACUAAAGCUGUGACUGUAAGUUAGCAUUACUGUCUCAUAUAUUUUGAAAAUCUUAUAUGGGUAUUAACUGUUUUCUGAUUUCUUUCAACAAUCAAAAAGUAUAAUCAAAAGUUGUGACUUUAAGUCAGCGUUAGUUUCUCAUAUUUUGAAAAUGUUCUACUAGUAUUCACUGUUUUCUGACUUAUACUAUCAUUUAAUUUUGCAGUAGCGUGAUGGGAGCGCAGAAAGAACCUUGAGAUUUUUGUCAAUUUUUCCUGCGAGCGCCAACAGCAAAGUGGUUUUCCCACAGCCUGGAGGCCCAAGUAAUAAUGUCAUCCUGCCAAAGAGUAAGCUAUGAGUAAAUCUUGUUUACUAAUGGAAUUUCUUGAAUUUCUUAAAAUUUAUGUUGUACUUCUGCACGACUCUAUGAAACAGAAAUUUAAGAUCUACCUUGAAGGCUUGAUGAUUCCUCUGACAUCUUGAAGAAUUUUGAUAUUGUUUGCCUGAGAUUUUUGUGCAAUUAUAUUUGUGAUACCCUGUUCAAUAUUGACAGCUGAUUCUAUAAGAAAAUAUGUCAAGCUAUGGCUGAAUAGGCAUGUUUGCACAAAGAUGAGGUAAAAUUAAAAAAAAAAUAAUUAUUUGUAGCAGUAAGAAAGAGUUUAAGCUUUGCUUUAAAUUUGAACCUCGAAAAAGCAAUGAAACACCUUUUAUCUUAGAAGAAAUAGUAAUCAAGAAAAAAGAAGGGGGAAAAAGCUUCCCUGCUCUUCUAAAACAAAUCUCUCACCAAAUUUCCGUCCCCCUAUUUUUUUUCUCUCUUAAAACUUAAUAAGCUGGUUGGAAGCAAUAGCGUAGUCUUUUCAAAUAACUAAUGGAACAAGUAGUAGUUUUAUGAAACAAAAAAAUAUUGGAACCACGCUAAAUGUUUUCAUAGCUUAGAUUGUGCAACCCUUUAUUCCGUUGAAGAAUAAAUAUGAAUCUGAUGUUCUGAACUAGACUUCUUGUCAUAAGAGGUGGCAGUUAGUUGUUUGAGUGACUGCCAAGACUGGUUUCCUUUGAACUUUACAUACUCCUGGAUUCUAUGUCAAGUUUGUAAUUACAAAAAAGGAGGGGGUGGAUUUGACUAUUGAUAAUUGUUUAGAGAUUAAGAAAAGGGUAGUAACAAAACUUACUGAGAAAAUCCAUUUGAGAGUGUUCCAUAGAGUAGGCAGAGGCUUCCCAUGAACCACUUCACAUUCUGCUUCUACGCAUAAAUUUUGAUACCUUACUUCCACAGUAGGUAAUUCCAGACCCACUCUAAAUAGGACAAACAAAUUGGUUGCGUGAUGCAUGCAUAUAUGAAUACAUUUUUGCCUACAAGGAAUGUAAAUGUAUGAUUUUCAAAUGCGUUUGCAGUGCAAGUAUGAUGUGUGUUCCUUGGGUAGGUUAGGAGAGGUUGUCUCAAUUAUUAUUAUUAUUAUUAUUUUCUCUCAUCCGCUUAAUGGCCCCAUUCAGGAUUUUAGAGAACUGUUAAGGAAACCAUUCGAAGCUCGUGGGAAGAGAAGCAAUAGUGUUGAAGACAAGCUGGCUAAGUUAGGACAAGGUAAUAGUGUUGCAGAAUUUUGGAAGUGGUUAAUAUGAAGUUUAUUUUGAGGUAAGUUGGGCAAUUGACCAAUAGAAUAUUGACACGCAUGCGAGGUUGUAUGUAUGUCAAUAUUCUAUUGACCAAUUGACCAACUUACUAAAAAAAUAACUAAAUGCUAACCGGAUCCCAGAAUUUUGAGUAGUUUUACUGCUAAUUUAAGUCUUUGGGCUGCUAUCUUGUGAAAGUAGAUUCAUUAACCUACUCUUUUCUUCAAUUACCGUGUCAAUUUGGUUCAUGAUGAUACUGCUCUUG
rnacentral:lncRNA from 1 species